GUGCUCGCUUGGGCAGCGCCUAUACUGAAACUCGAGCCCUACGGAGAAGAUUGGCAUGGCCCUGGUGCAAGGAUAAGAAAAUUCGUGAAGCAUUACAUACUAGU